CUCUGGAUCUUUGCGGUAGACGACCUGCUGCUGUGGACCUGCCAGACUCCAGCUGCUACAACUAUUAAUAACAGUCUCACCAUUAUCAUCAUCACUGUUACUGCUCUAAUGUUAGAGAAUGUUUUAGAACAGCUCCUCUCCAAUCUCUAUGGCUGUUCAACACCAGUCUGGUUCUGCUCAAGGUUUCUGCCUGUUAAAGGAAGUAACGGCAUGAUAAACUUCCUUUAACGUGCCGCUGUAACUUGCUAAAUGCUGCAAAGUUCUAAUGUAUGAUGGGACCAAAUCUUAUCUCAUCUUGAUGGUGGGUCAUAUGUUGUGAUUUGGCACCAUCUAAAUAAAGACCAAUUGAUUGAUUGACUGAUUGAAA